rnacentral:lncRNA from 1 species
CACACGCCUGAGGAGCUCAACACUCUUGUACCACACUGGUGACCAGCAGACGCAUCGAUGGCACAGCGAGGAACCCAGCAGCUGAAGGCAGAGCAAGAACCACUGGAAUCAUCAAUGGAGACUUGGAGGGAAGAGAGGGUCCAGCACCUCAGAGAAGCCCUGGCAGAGAAGGAGGAGCAGCUCAGCAGGGCAGUGAAGAGGCGACACAUGAGGACUGUGGCCGAUGUGGAGACCCUGACCCAGCUGAACACCUCACAAGCUGCUCUGAAGGAGAGCAACCUCAAAUGUGCUUCUCUGGAGGAAACCCUCCACAGUCAGCAGCAGGAGAAAGAGGAGCGACAUAAGAGAGAGCUGAUGGAGCAGGAGGAAGGCUUCAAUAAGAAGCUCCUUAUGAUCAAGGAGGAAUUUGUGAGGAAGCUCGAGGAAGAGAAGCACAGAUCUAAUGAAGAGGAAGAGGCCUUGAGGCAGCAGCUCUUUCUAAAAGACGACAAGUUCAAGAAACUUCUUGAGGAAGAGCAACACAAAUAUCAUGAAAAGAUCUUUGAAAAAGAGGAGUCAAUGAAGCAGCAGCUGUUGACUCAAGAGGAGACCCAUAACAAGAUGCUGGCUGAUGUUUGUCAGCGGUGGGAGACGACAUCUCAAAAAUGGGUCCAGAUGAGGGAAGAGCUGGAGCAGAAGGUCCUGGAGAGCCAACGGUUGAGGCAAGAGGAGCAGGAGAGGACCAAAGAGGAGCUCCAGAGGCUCUCUGAAGCAAUCCUCCAACUUGAGCUUCAAGUAUUAAAGAAAAAGAAGAAGAAAAGCUUCUGGAGAUGGAUCUGCAAAAGGAUGAGGUUCUGGAAAAGUUAGUGAAGAACAAUUCCAGAGCUCCCAAAGCCCUCCUCCUCCCCCUCCCCCUCCUCCUCCUCCUCCUCCCCCUCCUCCUCCUCUUCCUCCCCCUCCUCCCCCUCCUCCUCCCCUCCUCCUCCUCCUCUACAUCCUGACUUCCACAGCAUCACAUUCAAGAUUGAAGAUUUACUUUAUUCAUCCUCGUAGGGAAAUUGAAUUGUAGAAGCAGCCGUGGAUUAAUGGAUUAAUAUAACUGUAGUGCAGGUUUUGUAUUUACAAAGUAUAGAAAUAGAAUAAAUAAAUACAAAUAAGAUCAGAACGUUCUAAGCAUAUAUACAGCAUAUAAGAAUAUACUGUAUAUAAUAUAUACAUAAUAUAAUAUAUACAUAUUUUAAGCAUUAUAAGCAUAUAUACAUAAAUAUAGAAUAAAAUAUAAAUAAAAUGACAACAUAAAUAUUACAAUUAUUGUUAUUGGCUGGGUUUGGAUGAAUUAUAGAGUUUAAUGGCGGAUGGCAGGAAUGACUUCCUGUACCGUUCCUUAGAGCAUCCUGUCUUCAUCAGUUUUAUUUUACAGUAUAAUCAUUGUUUAUGUUCUCUGUUUGGAUCUGUGAUGUCGAAACAAUAAAACUUAAAGUAAAC